AUUCUUGUUUACGUUCGAAUAGGAUUCUUUCGAAAGUAUCGCUAAUUCGCAUUCCCGUUUUCGUUCGAAGCAAAUUCGAACCAUUCGAUCUUUCGAACAUCAAUCUUUCGAAUGUUUGCCCUAUUCUCGUAUUCGUUCGAACGCGUAUUUUUGUUUACUUUCAAUUCGCUACUCGGAACUUGCGGAUCGACACGUAUCGCGAUUUAUUUUUCUUCAAGCACAGUCGAAACGGUAUUUUUUCGUUACGAUUCUUAAAUUGACCAAAUGAACCAAGGGCAAAAGUACCAAUUUGUAAUGCUGGUCGAACGUUUGGAGCAAGAACCUGGAAGAAAUUCGGAGAAAAAUGAUGCUUUGAGUAAUUUUUUGAAUUCCUUAAAAAUUAUCCUAAAAAAUCAUGAAGGAUCAUCAAACGAGUUCCUGUCUGUAUGAAUCCCUUGAUUAAUUUGUGAAGCAAUUUAUUCAGUUGCCCAAAGCGAAUACUCUGGCACCUAACUCAUACGGAAAUCUCGUAAGCAGUUAUGGAGCGGACCCUGUUACAGGAAUCCCUGGAGAUAUCCUAGGUAGAGUUAGUGAAUAAUUCUAAAAAAAAUUAUGGAAAAUUGGCAAGUUUUUCAUCAAGAUUCCUUAUGGAAUCACCUCAUAACUCCCAUCGACUUACUCUCCGGAGUCUUCAGCGUAUCCAAAUUUCAUAUGCAGUUCAGUUUGGAAUCAACUUCAAAGAUUGCACUAAAACUUCAAAUGUACAAAUCUCACGAAAAAAACAUCCAACAACAGUGUACUUUUUAUUUUGCCUCUGCACUAGCAGAAAGCUUCGUGAGUAAACGUGAGUAGGUGCACAAGACGGUCAUCUUUUGAUUCCGAGAUGAAUACUAUUCAUCUAGAAAUCCUUCAAAUAUUUAUUUCAAGAAACCAUGAUUGUAAAACAAGAUUUCUUAAUUAAAUGUUUUAGAUGUAUUUCCGUAGAAAAUCUUCGUAGAAUUACUACAAGAAUUUAUUGAAUUAUUCUUGUAUGAAAUCUUCGAAGUUUUCCCAUAAGGAUUCAUGAAAUGGUUCUUGGGGCUGAACAAAUUCUUCAAAAUAUCGUAAGGAAAUGGGUAAUUAUUCCUAGGGAAAUGCCAUAGAUUUCUGGAAGAAUUCUGACAGGAUUCUAUGUAGAUUUCAUUAAUGAAUUUCUUAAUAAAAAUCCUCUUGAUCCUCGAAUAUAUUUUCUAAAGUUCGUGUCCUCAAAUACUUUCUAAAGGUAUGUGGUGUUGCGCCACAAUAAUCAUGGAUUUCACGAAUUUCACUGUUUCAAAUUUAAUAGAGUUUCUAAAAAUCGAUCUUCGCACAUUGAUCUAUCCAUUUUUCAACGCAAAGUAGCAUAUUUUCAAUAAUGUAAUAUCCAACGCAACUAUCACGGCCUCUAUCAAUUUUGAUUUAUGCUAUUUCCGUGGAGCUGAAGUACAAAGUCGUGCUAACAUUUCAAUAAAUAUGUUAAAACAUAAGCUGGCAGCAAAUAACUAAAUUUAUCAAAACCGUAAAAAAUGGUUGUAAAUUAAUAGUGAUUUAGUUGUUUAUUAAUAAUUGCAUUAUUGGAUAAACAAGAAGACUGUAUUUCAGCACUUUAACGGUUAAUGGAUCAUUUUAAAAACUACUUCACAAUAUCAAUCUUAAUCGGUUAAUUAUUUG
rnacentral:lncRNA from 1 species